AGAGCGAACGCUGGCGGCAGGCCUAACACAUGCAAGUCGAGCGGCCGUAGCAAUACGGCAGCGGCAGACGGGAGAGUAACACGUGGGAACGCGCCCUUCGGUUCGGAAUAACUCAGGGAAACUUGAGCUAAUACCGGAUACGCCCUUACGGGGAAAGAUUUAUUGCCGAAGGAACGGCCCGCGUCCGAUUAGCUAGUUGGUGAGGUAAUGGCUCACCAAGGCGACGAUCGGUAGCUGGUCUGAGAGGAUGACCAGCCUCACUGGGACUGAGACACGGCCCAGACUCCUACGGGAGGCAGCAGUGGGGAAUAUUGGACAAUGGGCGCAAGCCUGAUCCAGCCAUGCCGCGUGGAUGAUGAAGGCCUUAGGGUUGUAAAGUCCUUUUAACGGGGAAGAUAAUGACGGUACCCGUAGAAUAAGCCCGGCUAACUUCGCGCCAGCAGCCGC
rnacentral:rRNA from 1 species